GCCGCCGCCGCCGGGGGAAGCUCAGCGGGCGGAGAGCGGGGAGGAAAUAUAAUGAAAGGAGGAAUAAUGCACUAAGGGGAAGGAGGCUGAUGGUCGCCCGGAGGCUCCGCACCUACAGAGAGUGAAGUCCUGUUGCAGUGCCGCUGCCUCUACCUACGCUGACUGAGCUUGUCAAUGGAGCUGGAAAAUAUCGUUGCCAACACCGUCUUGCUGAAAGCCAGGGAAGGGAGAAGCUUGCUUUGGCCCAAGCGGCGUUGUGGUGAUCUUCCCAGCAGCUCCUGUCUUCUUCCACCGUGGUGUACUUCUGCAAGAAGGGUAUAUUCUUUUUCUUUCCAAAGAAGGAAGCUGCAGCAUUUGGGCAGGAGCCAAAGGCUCAAUUCAGGCUGA
rnacentral:lncRNA from 1 species